rnacentral:misc_RNA from 1 species
UGGGUUUUCUAUUGCUCUCAAGCCCUAAUGGAUGUCUGCCUGUUCUUGAAUCAUUGUUUGAAAUAACACAUUUGAUUUUUUUUUUCCCUGGGUGACUCUUGGAAGGGAGUGUCAAUAAGUCGUUCCGCAGAAGCAUGUUUGUAUUAUUGCAAUGACUGUGGAUGGAUUUGUGUUAAUGCCUAGGCUUUACCACGGUCUUCUAUUUCUCCCUUUUUCCUCUACUUUUCCUUCGUUGAGUUUCGAGGCAUGUUAUUAACUUCACAAUUGCAUAUCACCC